UCCGGAUCCGUUCCGACAGAGUUUGAUCGUGGCUCAGAUUGAACGCUGGCGGCAGGCCUAACACAUGCAAGUCGAGCGGAUGAAGAGAGCUUGCUCUCUGAUUUAGCGGCGGACGGGUGAGUAAUGCCUAGGAAUCUGCCUGGUAGUGGGGGAUAACGUUCCGAAAGGAACGCUAAUACCGCAUACGUCCUACGGGAGAAAGCAGGGGACCUUCGGGCCUUGCGCUAUCAGAUGAGCCUAGGUCGGAUUAGCUAGUUGGUGAGGUAAUGGCUCACCAAGGCGACGAUCCGUAACUGGUCUGAGAGGAUGAUCAGUCACACUGGAACUGAGACACGGUCCAGACUCCUACGGGAGGCAGCAGUGGGGAAUAUUGGACAAUGGGCGAAAGCCUGAUCCAGCCAUGCCGCGUGUGUGAAGAAGGUCUUCGGAUUGUAAAGCACUUUAAGUUGGGAGGAAGGGCAUUAACCUAAUACGUUAGUGUUUUGACGUUACCAACAGAAUAAGC
rnacentral:rRNA from 1 species